rnacentral:rRNA from 1 species
UACGUAGGGUGCAAGCGUUGUCCGGAAUUAUUGGGCGUAAAGAGCUCGUAGGCGGUUUGUCGCGUCGAAUGUGAAAACCCGGGGCUCAACCCCGGGCCUGCAUUCGAUACGGGCAGACUAGAGUUCGGUAGGGGAGUCCGGAAUUCCUGGUGUAGCGGUGAAAUGCGCAGAUAUCAGGAGGAACACCGGUGGCGAAGGCGGGACUCUGGGCCGAUACUGACGCUGAGGAGCGAAAGCGUGGGGAGCAAACAGG